UGGGGAAUUUUGCACAAUGGGGGAAACCCUGAUGCAGCGACGCCGCGUGAUUUAGAAGGCCUUCGGGUUGUAAAAAUCUUUUCUAUGGGAAGAAAAUGACAGUACCAUAGGAAUAAGGACCGGCUAAUUACGUGCCAGCAGCCGCGGUAAUACGUAAGGUCCGAGCGUUGUCCGGAAUCAUUGGGCGUAAAGGGUACGUAGGCGGGUAAGCAAGUUAGAAGUGAAAUCCUAUAGCUCAACUAUAGUAAGCUUUUAAAACUGCUCAUCUUGAGGUAUGGAAGGGAAAGUGGAAUUCCUAGUGUAGCGGUGAAAUGCGCAGAUAUUAGGAGGAAUACCGGUGGCGAAGGCGACUUUCUGGCCAUAACCUGACGCUAAGGUACGAAAGCGUGGGUAGCAAACAGG
rnacentral:rRNA from 1 species